ensembl:miRNA
CCCACACCUUUUCCUCUUCUUCUUGGCCGGGUUGGCUCCGCCAGCUCCCCCCGAGGAGGACGAGGAGGAGGAGGAAUGA